rnacentral:rRNA from 1 species
CGCGUGGGAAUCUACCUAGUAGUGGGGGAUAGCCAGGAGAAAUUCUGAAUAAUACCGCAUACGCCCUACGGGGGAAAGAGGCCCUCUUCUUGAAAGGUCUCACUAUUAGAUGAGCCCGCGUUAGAUUAGCUAGAUGGUGAGGUAAGAGCUCACCAUGGCAACGAUCUAUAGCUGGUCUGAGAGGAUGAUCAGCCACAUUGGGACUGAGACACGGCCCAGACUCCUACGGGAGGCAGCAGUGGGGAAUAUUGGACAAUGGGCGCAAGCCUGAUCCAGCAAUACCGCGUGUGUGAAGAAGGC